UACGUAGGGGGCGAGCGUUGUCCGGAUUUAUUGGGCGUAAAGAGCGUGUAGGCGGCCAGGUAGGUCGGUUGUGAAAACUGGAGGCUUAACCUUCAGACGUCGACCGAAACCAUCUGGCUAGAGUCCGGAAGAGGAGAGUGGAAUUCCUGGUGUAGCGGUGAAAUGCGCAGAUAUUGGGAAGAACACCAGUGGCGAAGGCGGUUCUCUGGGACGGUACUGACGCUGAGACGCGAAAGCGUGGGGAGCGAACAGG
rnacentral:rRNA from 1 species